rnacentral:rRNA from 1 species
AGAACCCGGGUCCUACGGGACGCAGCAGGCGCGAAACCUUCACAAUGCGUGAAAGCGUGAUGGGGGGACUCCGAGUGCUCGUUGCUCACAAAGUAGCGAGCUUUACCUAAGCGUAAGGAGCUUAGGAUAAUAAGGGGAGGGCAAGACCGCUGCCAGCCGCCGUGGUAAUAGCGGCUCCCCGAGUGGUGGUCAUGAUUAUUGGGUUUAAAGCGUCCGUAGCCGGUCUGGUCAGUCCUCUGUGAAAUCUGGCGGCUUAACCGUCAAACUUGCAGAGGAUACUGCCAGACUUGAGGCCGGCCGGAGUCGGGGGUAUUCCCGGGGUAGGGGUGAAAUCCUAAAAUCCCGGGAGGACCGCCAGUGGCGAAAGCGCCCGACUAGGACGGACCUGACGGUGAGGGACGAAAGCCAGGGGAGCAAAGCGGAUUAGAUACCCGCGUAGUCCUGGCCGUAAACAAUGCCCGCUUGAUGUCGGAAGUCCUUCGGGGACUUCCGGUGCCGAAGAGAAAUCGUUAAGCGGGCCGCCUGGGCAGUACGUCCGCAAGGAUGAAACUUAAAGGAAUUGACGGGGGAGCACCACAACCAGUGGAGGCUGCGGUUUAAUUAGAUCCAACGCAGGAAACCCUACCGGGGCCGACAGCACAAUGAGGGUCAGCCUGAAGGGCUUACCUGAGGAGCUGAGAGGUGUUGCAUGGCCGCCGUCAGCUCGUGCCGUGAGGUGUCCUCUUAAGUGAGGUAACGAGCGAGACCCGUGUCCUAUGUUGCUAUCCAUCUCUCCGGAGAUGGAGCACUCAUGGGAGACCGCUGGCGAUAAGCCAGGGGAAGGAACGGGCGACGGUAGGUCCGUAUGGCCCGAACGCCCCGGGAUACACGCGGCCUACAAUGGUCGGGACAAAGGGAUGCGACCCCGAAAGGGGAAGCUAAUCUCCGAAACCCGGCCUCAGUUCGGAUCGAGGGCUGUAACUCGCCCUCGUGAAGGCGAAAUUGGUAGUAGUCGCUGGUCAUUAUCUAGCGGCGAAUACGUCCCUGCUCCUUGCACACACC